rnacentral:rRNA from 1 species
UACGAAGGGGGCGAGCGUUGUUCGGAAUUACUGGGCGUAAAGGGCGCGCAGGCGGCCUUAGAAGUCAGAGUGUGAAAGCCCCGGGCUCAACCUGGGAAUGGGCAUUUGGAUACUCUGAGGCUGGAGUACGGGAGAGGAGAGUGGAAUUCCCAGUGUAGAGGUGAAAUUCGUAGAUAUUGGGAAGAACACCGGUGGCGAAGGCGGCUCUCUGGACCGUAACUGACGCUGAGGCGCGAAAGCGUGGGGAGCAAACAGG